AUGAAUCAAUGAAGAUGGAGUUUUGUUUUGUGUAUUUCAGCUUUGUGUAGCGAUGAGGAUCCAUUGGGGAUAGGAUGGCUCGGCUUAAAGGUGGAAGGCUCCCUUUGUCAGAUGUUUUAAGGUAUGGUGGAAGGCUCCACAUUUUUGUACAUAUUUGAUGUUCUGAAUACUGAAUGUUGGUCGUAUUAUCAUAAGGAUGCAUUUUUCUGCAGAGGCAAAUAUACUCAUUUUUAGAUGAGGAGUCACCUAAGCAUGCAGUUUGCAACUUUGUACCAGUUAUGUGUUCAACGUGUUGUUUGAUUAACUGGCAUGUAUCCUUUCUCACCUUAGUGCAGACACAUUAUCCUGUUGACUUUUGAGAAUGCUUAUGAUGCUCUGUUUAGAAGAUGUUUUCUUGAGUAGUACUACAUAUUUUUAUGGUUUCCUGUAACUUGCAGAUAUGGCGCCGAUUUGCCGCUUGGUGUGCUGGAACUACACUCCACGGGAAUAUUUGUUCAGAAUCUCCAGUCUUGUAAUUUUCUCCUUGAUGACAAUGACCAGGAAGCAUGGUUUCGUUUUAUCCCAUAUAUCAGUACAUAAGUAUGUUUUGUUGGAAUAUUAGGUAAGUUCAUGAUUAAUUCCAGUAAAUAAUUCAUGAUUAGAAGAGAUACUAGCAUGCAAUAAUCUAGCAAACUAGAAGAACAGCAAGACAUGCAUAACAGCAGCAAACACGUAACAAUAGCUGCAGAAACAGACAUGAACAGAGGAUGUUAGACGUACUGAUCGUUAGCUAUUAUGGGUGCGACAGUGUUGAUGACGAUGUUGGCGACGAUCUGCUGCUGACGGCGAUGAAUACGACGAUGAGUAGCACCGCCCGACUUGGACGGAAGACGACCCGUGAUGACGAAUUUGAGCAGUCGCGCACAGCGCUUCCCAAAAACCUAAUUCGUCUUCUCCCGGUGCAGGAUCGGAAAGACGAACGGUUCCGGAGACCUGCUCUCCCACGCGCCGAUGCACGCCGGCGUUUGGGAUGGAGUAGACUACGAUAGCGGCGCAAGUUGUGAGAUGAGGCAAAAACCCUAGGUGUUUUUCGGUGUGUCUCUGGCCGCAGCCGGUAGCUGUAUAUAUAUUAGGACCAGAGGCGGUAUUGUGUCGCGACCACAAUCCCAAACCGACUCGGUUUCUAAUUCGUAUACUUACCGGACAAGAAAUCAAAAACUUGUCUGCCAAGACAUAAAAGUAAAACGGCAAAAGGAAGCUGCGCUCCUGCAAGGAGACGGACCGGAUUUCGGCGGGACCAUUCACGCGCAUGUACGCCUCGCAUCGCCACGCCACGGCCAGGCGAGGCGAGCGAGCGAGCGCGUGUGGUUUUCCCUUUCUCUUCUCACACACCACUUAGAGUGGUGGAGAGAACCCACUAUAUAAAGAGGUCCAACUCUUCUUUAACUUCCAAGGUGGGACUAAACUUAGCACCACCACUUGCCAUUUUACACAUGGGCUUUGAGAUUUCAGAAAUUGCUAUGGGCCUAGCCCAUUAAUUCUAACAUGUUUAGCUUAUAUAUAGUUGGUGAUUUGUCCAUGGAAAUUGGUGUUUUUUAUCUACUGCAUCUGUUUUGAUCUUUUUAAAGCACAUCCCUUAAAUUGGUGAAUUUUUCUGUUAAUGUAGAACCAAUUUUAGUAAAUGAUUUUCUUCGUUACGAGUUAGCGGCAGUCUUUGAUAUAUCCAGAAAGAUGCUAUGCAUGUUUCUCUAUGUCUUAUAUCCUAACCUUCAUUCUUCGAUGACCAGUACAGCUGAACUUGUUAAGAACCUUUACAAUGAUCACAUUUGUGAUUUAACUUCCCUUUUUUUAGCCUUUAGACAAGCUGAAACUGAGCAUCAAAGUUUGGAAUAAUUUUACUGACAGCAACCAAGAGAUGCCCAGGUCCCAGGACCUGAUCAGGUGCAGGUUGUGUUGGCAAAAAGGACACCAUCUUUGGCCUUUUCAUCCUCUUGUUUUUUAUAUUUCCAUGGAGAAGUCGAGUGUUAGAGUUAACAGAAGUCAAGAACAAGCUCACCAUCCAUGAUUUUUGAGGGUAAAUAUUUUGUAAGUAGUGACAUCCUGGUUCUGCAUUCAAUCUACAAUCAUCAGUACAUUAAGUUCAGUUAUGCGAGAUUUGAAUCAAGCCUUGCAUGAUUUGCUCUUUUACUGAUGGACUGAGGAGGUCAGAGAUGUAUAACAGCCGUAUUGAUCCAAAUGACAAGUACGGCAGUGCUAACCUGCUUACCUAGAAUUUUACCACAUCCUAAGACUUGCAAAUCUGUACAAUAGGAAUGGCUAGCUGUUUACCGUGACAUGUAGUGGCAUCUCUCACCAUGUGUGCACAUAGUGUUUAGGCAUGAUUAUUGCAUACUGUCGACAAGGGCGCGGCGUUUUUCCUUAACUGAUUCUUUUUUUUUUGGCUUACUGGUUGAGCUCGGUUUCAACUCUUACCUGAGUAGUUGAUCGGCAAGCUUGAUGCAGGUGUAUGGAAAUUAUGCAGUUCCAUUAGCUCUGGAGUUGUCCAGUAUACUACCGAGGCCUACAUAUUUUGCUGAUGCAAGUUGGAGGUGAACAUGAACUCUGGCAAUCCAAAAUAGCACAUCCAAAAUAACUGCAGCUCAGGCCAUGUAGUUCUACAACAACCAAGGAAGAAGUCCCUUUUUUUAAGCUAACCUCGGCCAAGGAAUUCAAGCUUAUAUGGGUGCUCUCUGUUUUUCAGAGGUGCGUGUACUGAGGGCGCCCACGAUUCAAGCCAAAAAAUCUAGACAAAGUGAUAGCCCGUUGAAGGAUGCUGAUUGUGGCUAUACAACUUCAACAACGUGCUUGCUACUCAUGAGUGGCAAAGUAUAACAUGCCCCACCUUUUUUUAAAGAAGCCCCUUCAAAUUAUGUAUGCAGUAUGCUGGGAAGAACUCAUGACAAAGCCUGGUUUGUAUGCUUGUCUUAAUGUAUUUUCAUACUGGCUCGAGUAAUGUACUCUUGCCCCCUGCAUGACACCGCCUUUGCAGUGUAUUCUUGGUUGCGUGUUGCUCAAUUAGGUUAUUCUAUUUUAUUUUUCCUUUUUAUUCACUGUUGUUGGCAUGAAUUUGCCCGUGCAUUUGGUCCUAUCACUGACAACAAUUUAAACAUGUUAAUCCAGGAAGGAUAUGCACAUCAUCAGUGCACCUUUAUUUAUUGAGUAUAAAUGAGUAGUUAAUUUGCUAAUUAAAUUUGUUUUCUUGCGGGUAUAUUCAUCUCAUUAGAAACGUCUUUUGUGUGGCUUGGUCUUCCUAAAUAUUGUGUGGGUUUUUUCCUUUCCUGGUUUAGCUUGUCAAAACAAUGAUUAUUUGAGCGCGUGAUCUACUCAUGCCUAUUUACCUUAUUGUAUAGUUUGCCAUUCUAGAACACUAGAUCUUUCUCCACAGCUGAGAUGUUGAUAUGACAAGUUUAAUUCGUGUUUAAUCUCCGCAUAACUAAUUUUGCUUCCCAUAUAUGUCAUACAAAAAUGUUAAAUUCCCUUCAUUUUUGUUCACAGAUGUCGCACCACAGGUGAUGAGAGACUCGGGAUGGGGACAAAAUGGUCUUGACCACCGGCGGACUCUUCCAUCGUCUCACCAUCACUCCCACGGGCAGCGUUUUAGUUGAGUCCAACAAUUCAGUUCUGAAGAUAACAUGUAGG
rnacentral:lncRNA from 1 species